CACCCCUUUUCUUCUUUCCCCUUCUGCCGGUGAACUAUUUCUCUCUCUAUAAACACAACUAUUUCUCUCUAUCUCAAACUUCAUCUAUCACCACCACCAUCUCCCACCUCCCACCACCGCCGCUGGGGACCCUAACUUGCAUUUUGUUGAGUCUCAUGCUCUAGCUCCUCCGGAAGUGCAAAUUGACAUUGUUGCUCAACAACAGCAUGAAGCUGAGCUUGCUGCAGCUUCCAGCCAGCCUCUUCCAGAUGAUGACGAUGAUGCUUUUGAAUAGAUAUAAAAUUUGAAAGAGUUUGUGGGAUUUGAGAGUUUUUCUGUUUGUGGAUUUUUGGAUUUUGAUUAUGAUUAAGAUGU